AUGCCAGCACAUUUGGGAAACUCAGCAGUGGCCACAGGACUGGAAAAGGAGGUUUUCAUUCCAAUUCCAAAGAAAGGCAAUGCCAAAGAAUGCUCAAACUACUGCACAAUUGCACUCAUCUCAUAUGCUAGUAAAGUAAUGCUCAAAAUUCUCCAAGCCAGGCUUCAGCAAUACGUGAACCAUGAAUUCCCUGAUGUUCAAGCUGGCUUUAGAAAAGAAGGAGGAACCAGAGAUCAAAUUGCCAACAUCUGCUGGAUCAUGGAAAAAGCAAGAGAGUUCCAGAAAAACAUCUAUUUCUGCUUUAUUGACUAUGCCAAAGCCUUUGACUGUGUGGAUCACAAUAAACUGUGGAAAAUUCUGAAAGAGAUGGGAAUACCAGACCACCUGACCUGCCUCUUGAGAAAUCUGUAUGCAGGUCAGGAAGCAACAGUUAGAAAUGGACAUGGAACAACAGACUGGUUCCAGAUAGGAAAAAGAGUACGUCAAGGCUGUAUAUUGUCACCCUACUUAUUUAACUUAUACGCAGAGUACGUCAUGAGAAAUGCUGGACUGGAAGAAGCACAAGCUGGAAUGAAGAUUGCUGGGAGAAAGAUCAAUAACCUCAGAUAUGCAGAUGACACCACCCUUAUGGCAGAAAGUGAAGAGGAACUAAAAAGCCUCUUGAUGAAAGUGAAAGAGGAGAGUGAAAAAGUUGGCCUAAAGCUCAACAUUCAGAAAACGAAGAUCAUGGCAUUUGGUCCCAUCACUUCAUGGGAAAUAGAUGGGGAAACCGUAGAAACAGUGUCAGACUUUAUUUUGGGGGGCUCCAAAAUCACUGUAGGUGGUGAUUGCACCCAUGAAAUUAAAAGACACUUACUCCUUGCAAGGAAAGUUAUGACCAACCUAGAUAGCAUAUUUAAAAGCAGAGACAUUACUUUGCCAGCAAAGGUCCAUCUAGUUAAGGCUAUAGUUUUUCCAGUGGUCAUGUAUGGAUGUGAGUGUUGGACUGUGAAGAAAGCUGAGCACUGA
rnacentral:lncRNA from 1 species